AGGACUUUUUAUCAACCAUUGGUCUUAUUGUCAGUGGGGUUUUAUGGGUUUUGAUGUACCCAAAAUAAUGCGGGGAGCAUAUGGAGCUGAAACCUCAUUAAAGGUCCAUUGUGUUGGGAACUGCUGUGAUCUUCUUAUUCUUCUGACUGCACUUGCCAGGCGGUCAGUUGGAUCUGAUCGUAGCAUCUCCGAUUUUGAUUGGUUUAUAAAUGCACUUAAUAGGUGAUGAUAUUUACUUUCCUCAAUGAGGACCACUUUUUGGGACUUAUCAUUCUUAGUGCAUAUAACAUGUUCGUUCGCCAUCCAAUCCCUUGUAUACGUGAGAAGGGCUCUAUCCUUAUCAUGUCUCUGAGGAUGGUUUUUACUAUCAGUAUUCCUAGACCGAACGAUAUCCCACCGAAUAUUAUAUUACAUCCAGAAAAAAGGAGUGCCCAUAGGCGGACCCAUGGCUGGACUUAUGGCGGAGCUCGUACGCUACAAGGAGUC
rnacentral:lncRNA from 1 species